GACGAACGCUGGCGGCGUGCUUAACACAUGCAAGUCGAACGGAAAGGCCUGCUUUCCCUUGUGGAUUGCGGGUACUCGAGUGGCGAACGGGUGAGUAACACGUGAGUGAUCUGCCCCCAACUUGGGUAUAAGCCUGGGAAACUGGGUCUAAUUCCCGAUAGGACUGCAGGGUGGUGCCUGUGGUGGAAAACGAUUUUCUAGUGGUUGGGGAUGAGCUCGCGGCCUAUCAGCUUGUUGGUGGGGUAAUGGCCUACCAAGGCGGCGACGGGUAGCCGGCCUGGGAGGGUGGACGGCCACAUUGGGACUGAGAUACGGCCCAGACGCCUACGGGAGGCAGCAGUGGGGAAUAGUGCACAAUGGGCGGAAGCCUGAUGCAGCGACGCCGCGUGGGGGAUGACGGCCUUCGGGUUGUAAACUCCUUUCGACCGCGAGGAAGCCACCUGGUUGGAAGGGUGGUGACGGUAGUGGUAGAAGAAGCACCGGCUAACUACGUG
rnacentral:rRNA from 1 species